AUGGCUCAGGAUGAACGCGGGCGGCGUGCUUAAUACAUGCAAGUCGAACGGAGAAUGAGCAAUCGUUCUUAGUGGCGAACGGGUGAGUAACGCGUGGGUGACCUGCCCCGAAGUGCGGGAUAACAGUUCGAAAGGACUGCUAAUACCGGAUGUGGUUGUGGAGUUUAGAAGACUGCAACUAAAGGAGCAAUCCGCUUCGGGAGGGGCCUGCGUCCCAUCAGCUAGUUGGUAGGGUAAAGGCUUACCAAGGCGACGACGGGUAGGGGACCUGAGAGGGUGAUCCCCCACACUGGCACUGAAACACGGGCCAGACACCUACGGGUGGCAGCAGUAGGGAAUAUUGCACAAUGGGCGAAAGCCUGAUGCAGCAACGCCGCGUGCGCGAUGAAGGCCUUCGGGUCGUAAAGCGCUUUUCUGGAGGACGAGGAAGGACGGUACUCCAGGAAUAAGGCUCGGCUAACUACGUGCCAGCAGCCGCGGUAAAACGUAGGAGCCAAGCGUUAUCCGAAUUCACUGGGCGUAAAGCGCGUGCAGGCGGCCUGUUAAGUUGGAUGUGAAAUCUCCUGGCUCAACUGGGAGGGGACGUUCAAUACUGGCGGGCUAGAGGGCAAUAGAGGGAGGUGGAAUUCCGGGUGUAGUGGUGAAAUGCGUAGAUAUCCGGAGGAACACCAGUGGCGAAAGCGGCCUCCUGGAUUGCAACUGACGCUCAAACGCGAAAGCUAGGGGAGCGAACGGGAUUAGAAACCCCGGUAGUCCUAGCCGUAAACGAUGUUGACUGGGUGUUGGUGGGGUAAAAGCCAUCAGUGCCGAAGCAAACGCGAUAAGUCAACCGCCUGGGGACUACGGCCGCAAGGUUAAACUCAAAU
rnacentral:rRNA from 1 species